rnacentral:rRNA from 1 species
CGUAGGUGGCAAGCGUUGUCCGGAUUUAUUGGGUUUAAAGGGUGCGUAGGCGGCCCUGUAAGUCAGUGGUGAAAUAUCUCAGCUUAACUGAGAGGGUGCCAUUGAUACUGCGGGGCUUGAGUACAGAUGAGGUAGGCGGAAUUGACGGUGUAGCGGUGAAAUGCAUAGAUAUCGUCAAGAACACCGAUAGCGAAGGCAGCUUACCAAGCUGUAACUGACGCUGAGGCACGAAAGUGUGGGGAUCAAACAGGAUUAGAUACCCUGGUAGUCCACACUGUAAACGUUGAUGACUCGAUGUUGGCGAUACACAGCCAGCGUCCAAGAGCAAUCGUUAAAGUCAUCCACCUGGGGAGUACGCCGGCAACGGUG